rnacentral:rRNA from 1 species
ACGGAGGGUGCAAGCGUUGUCCGGAUUUAUUGGGUUUAAAGGGUGCGUAGGCGGAUCUUUAAGUCAGUGGUGAAAUCCUGCAGCUUAACUGUAGAACUGCCAUUGAUACUGGAGAUCUUGAGUAUACUAGAGGUAGGCGGAAUUUAUGGUGUAGCGGUGAAAUGCAUAGAUACCAUAAAGAACACCAAUAGCGUAGGCAGCUUACUGGAGUAUAACUGACGCUGAGGCACGAAAGCAUGGGUAGCGAACAGG